rnacentral:lncRNA from 1 species
GUCAAAAUCCAUAUCUAUGUGAAUCUGGUCAAUGCAACGAGAAGGAAAAGAAAAAUACUGUCAUACCCAUAGUAGCAUCAAUAUGUGGGGUUCUAAUUCUUCUAAUAGCCGUUGCUAUAUUGUGGAUCCUUAAAAGUCAAAAAUCAAAAGGUAAUGCUGAAAUAACUAAGAAAAGUUUGUAUUUUCUAUCAACAAUUUACCAAAAGAUCACCUUUUUAACCUAUUAUCUUUCAAAAUGAAGUUGAAAAAUUUACAGAUUCGGUGGCAGUAAAUCAUCAGAGUGAGAUUUCACAGCAAUUCACAGAAAAGGAUAAUUCGUUCCAGCAACGCAAAAGUCAAAUGUAUUCAUACUAUGAUGUCCUUCAAAUCACUAACAAUUUCAAAAGAAUUAUUGGUAAAGGAGGAUUUGGAACAGUUUACCUGGGCUUUAUCGAUGACACUCCAGUUGCAGUGAAAAUGCUUUCCCCAUCAGCAGUUCAUGGUUAUCAACAAUUUCAAGCAGAGGUAUAUUAAUCAAUUUACUCUAGGUUUCUGACUUUAGUACCGACCCAAUAUGGUUUAACAUGGUUGUGACUUAUAUUUCUAGGUUAAACUUCUACUCAGAGUUCAUCACAAAAAUUUGACAUCCCUUAUUGGUUACUGUAACGAAGGAACCAAUAAGGGUCUCAUAUAUGAGUACAUGGCUAAAGGGAACUUACGAGAACAUCUCUCAGGUUGGUUACGNAUAAAAUUAUUUUGUUCUUAAAAGUUUGUGUAAUCAAUUUCCAAGUUAGAUUUGAUUUCUGAAACUCUGGAGAUGGAAUUUUUAAUAUUGGAGAACUGUAUGAGUCGUAUGAAUAAGUUCUACCGAACACAAACAAACAUGUAUAGAAUAGAAAGUUAUAGAAGUUGUUCUUGUAGGUAAACACAGAGAAUCACCAUUCUUGAGCUGGAAGGACAGACUUGGUGUUGCACUGGAUGCAGCCUUAGGUUAGAAAGUAAAAUUGAAUUUGUGAAUUUACAUUAACUCCCUUUACCCUUUUAACACAUUGCCGUGAUUAUAAAUCUAAUAUCAGGAUUGGAAUAUCUGCAAAAUGGUUGCAAGCCUCCUAUAAUCCACAGAGAUGUGAAAUCUGCAAACAUCUUGUUGGACGAACACUUCCAAGCAAAGUUAUCUGAUUUCGGUCUAUCCAAAGUUGUCCCAGAUGAUGGGGGGUCUUAUGUGUCAACUGUUGUUGCUGGCAGUUUCGGUUAUCUGGACCCUCAGUAAGUACUUUAGUUUUUAACGUUUCCAUCGUUUUCUACGAGAAUAUAAGGAGAUAUUCUACGUUAAUAUUUGAGUUCAUGGCAAAAUCCGCAAAGAGUAAUUAAUUUGGGUUUCAUGACUUCUCUUGCAGCUACCACUAUUCCAAUAGAUUAACUCAGAAAAGUGAUGUUUACAGCUUUGGAGUUGUUCUCUUGGAAAUAAUCACAAAUCAACCAGUAAUGGUAGGGAAUGAAGAAAAGGGUCACAUAAGUGAUCGAGUUAGCUCCAUGAUAUCAAGAGGGGAUAUCAGGGCCAUAGUUGACUCAAGCUUAGAAGGAAAUUUUGACAUAAACUCGGCAUGGAAAGCCGUAGAAAUAGCAAUGGCUUGUGUUUCUCCAAAUCCCAACGAAAGGCCAAUGAUGAGUGUGGUAGUGAUUGAACUACAGGAGGCUUUAGCAACCGAAUUAGCUGAUCCCAGGUGUUCUGUUGCACCGGUCAGCGUGAAAGUAGACACCGAAUAUAAGCCCUUAGCUAGGUAAAUGCUUGCUCAACGUAAGAAUAAUAGAAUAACUUUGUAACAAGUGAAAGUGAUGUUGUACAAGAAGUGUGUCAUUGGGUGAUUUAGUUUGAUUAGUUUUCUGAAUCUUAGUUGUUUGGGAGUGGUGAUAGUAGUAAUGUAGAAUGCGUAUUAUAGUAUACAAAUAAACAAUGAGAAUUGAGUAAAUGAAAUUGAAAAGCAGUGUUAUUAUCAUUUUUUGUUGGAAUAAAUUUUUAGAACAAUCUAUCUUAUUUUGCCCUCUUAUAUGCAAAGUGAACCACAACAACGAAGAAAUGAACCCAAAUAAUGUAAAAUGGUGAAGUAAAUAAGAAAAAAGAAUCAAUACGUCGAAGAAAAAUGAGUCAAACGAACAAAGAAUAAUGGAGAGUUUGAACAGUACCAAGGAAGAUAAUAUCGGAAAAAAAGUUUACUAUACAUACUCCAGAAAGAAAGAGUUCUGUAUUGAAAGGGAAGUUAAUUUAUGAUAGCUGUUUGCAAAGUAUGUGAUGAGUAAGCACACUUGACUCAAUGGACAGUUUUUGAAGUAGUUUUACAAUUUAUGUAAUUUUGUUUUAUUUUAUUUUGGUGUGUAAUUGUCAUAAAUAAGAAUAAAUAUAAAUAGGUUAUUUAAAUGUAAAUUAAAAGUAAUAAAUAGUGGUUACAAUUCAAACAUUCUAAGACCUUGAUGGAAAGUGACAAAUGGAAUAAUCAAUAUUACAAUUUGGAUCACCAUUUUCAUGUAUGCAAUUUAAAUUUCCAAUUAAUCACUUCAAUUCAUCUUCAUCUUUAUCUACAUAUUCUAUACUUUCCUAAUUUUUUUUCAUUUACAAUUCCAUCUUUAUAUAAAAAAAAAAUUACAAAAAUAUGACUUACAUAUUAAUUUGAUUCUAGUUGCAGAAUCUAAAAUCAACAUACUUUGAAUUAGAUUGUAAAUGACAAAUUUUCUAGUCUAAUCGACAAAAAAUCACGUUGGAUAUAUCGACAUUACUUGUAAAAUGGGUAUAACAUUUUCCAAACGGUUAUGCUUCCGCUGGCCGGCAAAUAGCAGAAAUUCAGAUCACAUCACUGCACAUAUAUAGGUACCAUAUUUCUUCUUUCUCUUUCUUCAUACAUAUGCAGGUUUAUUUUAUUCUAAAUAAUCCUCUAAUGUUACUAAUUUUUUUAAAUAUAUAGUUUCUUUUUGUAAUAGGUUCGAGUUAAAUCAUUUUGUUACAUAUUAAUAUUUUAUUUUCUUUGUAACAAUUGUUUUUUAUAUAAUUAAUAAAUAAUAAAAAUACGAUUGUAAAAAUGAAUAAAACAACAACAACAAAAAAAUAAACAGUGAUUUCUUUGCAUUUUUAAAAAAGAAAAUAUAUGCUCUGACCUCGUUUUAAGAAUGUAUCAACUUGACGUGUUGAAUGAAACACAUUCUUAUUAUUUUCCUAUAUAUAAACAGUUAAUAAAAAAGUUCACACACAUUAACAUAGAUUUAAUAGUAUUCAUUAAAUUUGACAACUAUCAAGUGUAAGUGUGUAAUUAAUAUGAAUAGUCUGUAGAUUUUUUUUAUGUAUAAUAUAUAAUUAAAAACAAUAAAACGUAAUAAAUUUAAUAAACAUAAUCUAUAUAUAUUUUAUUUUUGUGGUUUUUUUCUUUAUUUUUCUAUUUUUUUAUUUAAUAUAUAAGAACUGUAACAAAAAGAAGAAGAAACAUUAAUAAAUUAGUAACAUUUAAUGUAAACGAUUUAACUCAAAUGUGUUAGAAAAAAUCAUUUACGAAAAAUGAAAUUUUUUAAUGAUUAAAGAGGACAGUAUUAAAAUUUUAGGUGUUUAUUCAAAUGACAAUAAACUUUAAGAUGAAUGAACACAAAAUUAAAAUUUAAAGUGUUUAUUCCUCGAAGUGUUUAGGAAGUUGAUUAUGUUGGUUCUGCCAUUCUUUGUUUCUGUAUCAUUUUGUAGCAUAUAGCAGCCAAUCAUUCCGCAGUUUUUGUGCUAAUAUUAAGCCUUUUAUUCUAUCUGCGUUUUCAAAAUAAAUUACACUUUGGUCAUAAAAAUAUAUUAAAUCCAUUUUAAGCUUGAUUGAUCGGGUAAUUCAGUGGUAUUAUUUUUAUGAUGCAGAUCGAAGGCUUAAAUACGGAAAGAGAUCAGGUAUGAAAUAUACUGAGCCAAUACUAGCCAUAGAGUACGUUUGGGAUUCAGAUUUCAUAAAUACUGGUAAUAAGGUGGGAGCCAAAAGAUGAAACUGAGAAAUUCUAUGUGUACAUGCACUUCAAGGAGAUCCAACUGCUAACAAGCGAUCAAAGAAGACAAUUCAAAAUCACGAUGAACGGUGAAUUAAGAGUUCAAAAUUUUUCUCCACAGUACCAAGGUGUGGAUACUAUAUAUACGACGGAAGCCACCAAUGGGAAAGAAAUUAAAUAUUCCCUGGAGAGGACUGAAAAUUCAACCCUGCCUCCCAUCAUCAAUGCUAUUGAAAUUUACAAAGUAAUAAACUUACAGAAACCAGAAACGUUCCAAGGAGAUGGUAUUGUUCAUUUUUUAAAUCCAUUUAUUCGGUUUACAUUUUCCUACAUGAACUUAACUACCUUUUACCCAUUUUUUUGCAUUUGAAAAAAGUUGAUGCAAUUACAAGCAUUAAGUCUGCCUAUGGAGUGAAAAGGGUUUGGGAAGGUGAUCCAUGUGCUCCUGCAGCCUACUUGUGGGAUGGUCUCAACUGUACUUAUCUCGGCAAUGAGUUCCCAAGAAUCACAGCUUUGUAAGUCAUGCUUGCCAAAUUAUUAUUAUACCUUCAUAAAACUAAUUAAGAUCAUAUCCUAUAUUACUAUUCAUUGAGCAAAACAGGAAUUUAUCGUCAAGUGGAUUGUCAGGAAAGAUUGACCCUUCCAUCUCAAAACUCACCAUGUUGGAGAAGCUGUGAGUUUUCUUUCUCUUUUGUUUCUUUUAUUUCACCCGACAGAAAAAUCUCUUGUUUUAAAUCUUUUUACUUUUUCCGUUAUGUAUUUAUUGUUUGUGAGGAAUCGACAUAUCUUUUCCUACUUGAGUUGACAUUUAAACAUGGUUAAAAAGGCUAAAUUAUUUGUUUUCCAGGGAUUUAUCUAACAAUAACUUAAAUGGUGAAGUUCCUGAUUUUCUGUCUCAGUUACCAUACUUGAAGAUCCUGUAAGUUACUUCAUUUACUCCAACAGUAUAUAUGUGAUCCUCUGUAUCAGAUAAUGGAAAACCAUUAUUUUUUUAGAAACUUGGAGAAGAAUAACCUCUCCGGUUCGAUUUCCUCUGUACUUGUUGGAAAAUCACACCAAGGUUUUCUCUCACUAAGGUAUGAAUCUAACUAAAAAUUAUCAAAUUUAUAAUAUGAUUAUUUAUGCUGAUUAUUAGUUACUUAUAUUCAAGGCAUUGUUUGAGAUUCAUAUACUCAUGAUCCACCCAAUUUCAAGCACAACCAAAAUAAGUUGAAUUAUGUAUUUAAAUUAUGGAUUACUUGUGAGGUUUACUGAGACUCGAAACAUAAUUUUUCUGUGAUUUCCAUGCUAGAAUGGGUCAAAAUCCAUAUCUAUGUGAAACUGAUCAAUGCAACGACAAGGGAAAGAAAACCACUGUUACACCCAUAGUAGCAUCAGUUAGUGCGAUUUUAAUUCUUCUAAUAGCCGGUGCAAUAUUUUGGAUCCUUAAAAGGAAAAAAUCAAAAGGUAAUGCUGAAAUAACUACGAAAAGUUCGUAUUUUCUAUUAAUAAUUUCUCAAAAAUCUAUCUUUUUAACCUAUUAUCGUUAAAAAAGAAGUUGAACAAUUUACAGAUUCGGUGACAGUAAAUCAUCUGAGUGAAAUUUCUCAGCAAUCCACAGAAAAGGAUGAAUCGUUCAUGCAACGGAAAAGUCAAACGUAUUCAUACUAUGAUGUCCUUCAAAUUACAAACAAUUUCAAUAGAAUUAUUGGUAAAGGAGGAUUUGGAACAGUUUACCUGGGCUUUAUAGGUGACACUUCAGUUGCGGUGAAAAUGCUUUCCACGUCAGCAGUUCAUGGUUACCAACAAUUUCAAGCAGAGGUAAGUAUUUAAUCAAUUUGCUCUAGGUGUCUGAGCUUGGUACCAAACCUAUAUAGUUUAACAUGGUUGUGAUUUUAAUUUCCAGGUUAGACUUCUAAUCAGAGUUCAUCACAAAAAUUUGACAUCACUUAUUGGUUACUGUAAUGAUGGAACCAAUAAGGGCCUCAUAUAUGAGUACAUGGCUAAAGGGAACUUACGAGAACAUCUCUCAGGUUGGUUACNNAUAAAAUUAUUUUGUUCUUAAAAGUUUGUGUAAUCAAUUUCCAAGUUAGAUUUGAUUUCUGAAACUCUGGAGAUGGAAUUUUUAAUAUUGGAGAACUGUAUGAGUCGUACGAAUAAGUUCUACCUAUCAAAAACAAACAUGUAUAGAAUAGAAAGUUACAGAAGUUGUUAUCGUAGGUAAACACAGCGAAUCUCCAUUCUUGAGCUGGAAGGACAGACUUCGUGUAGCAGUGGAUGCAGCCGUAGGUUAGAAAGUAAAAUUCGAACUGUGAAUUUAUGUUAAGUCCCUUUUAGCUUCUUAACACGUUUACCGCAAUUAUAAAUCUAAUAUCAGGAUUGGAAUAUCUGCAUAAUGGUUGCAAGCCUCCUAUAAUCCACAGAGAUGUAAAAUCAUCAAACAUCUUGUUGGAUGAAAACUUCCAAGCAAAGUUAUCUGAUUUCGGUCUAUCCAAAGUUGUCCCAGAUGAUGGAAGAUCUCAUUUGUCAACUAUUGUUGCUGGUACACUUGGUUAUCUGGACCCUCAGUAAGUACUUUAGUUAUUGUCCUUUCCAAUUUUCUUGGAGAAUAUAGGGAGAUUUUCUACCUUAAUAUUUGAGUUAUCAUCACAAAAUCCACAAAGAAUAAAUAAUUUGGGUUUCAUGACUUCUCUUGCAGCUACCAUUCUUCCAAUAGAUUAACACAGAAAAGUGAUGUUUAUAGCUUUGGAGUUGUUCUUUUGGAAAUAAUCACAAAUCAAGCAGUAAUGGCAGGGAAUGAAGAAACGGGUCACAUAAGCGAACGAGUUAACUUGAUGAUAUCAAAAGGGGAUAUCAGGGCCAUAGUUGACUCAAGCUUACAAGGAAAUUUUGACAUUAACUCUGCAUGGAAAGCCGUAGAAAUAGCAAUGGCUUGUGUUCAUCCAAAUCCCAACGAAAGGCCAAUGAUGAGUGUGGUAGUGAUUGAACUACAGGAGGCUUUAGCGACCGAAUUAACUAGAACAAACCAUGAUAUUGGUGCUGAUCCCAGGUAUUCAGUUGCACCGGUCAGCGUGAAUUUAGACAGCGAAUUCAUGCCGUCGGCUAGGUAAACGCUUACUCAACAUAAGAAUCAUAUAAUAACGCUGUAAGAAGGGAAAUUGAUGUUGUACAAGAAGUUGUUUAUUAGGUGCUUUACUCACUUUGAUUAGUUUUCUGAAUCUUUGUUGUUUGGGAGUGGUGAUAGCAGUAAUGUAGAAUGGAUAUCAGUAUACAAAUAAAAAAUGAGAAUUGUAAAACAGUGUUAUUAUCAUUUUUUUUUGCAUUAAAUUUAUUGAACAAUCUAUCUUUGUUUUCUCUUCUUAUUGCAAAGUGAACCAUAAGAACGAAGAAAUGAACCAAGUGUAAAUGAAGAUAUGAUCACAGAAAUAAAUUGGUCAGUUUUUCAGAUUUUAAGGGAAUUUUCUAAAAUCAUAAAUUUUAACCUUUUUAUUAAAGAUAUUAUUUUUAAAGUCUUCUUAACUAAUAAGUUUGAUUCAUAUUUCAAAAAUAGUUUACGACUUCAAAAGCUUAAUCCUUGUAACGCAUUUAGAAAUUUUGUAAUUAUUUUUAUAUCCGUGUAUGUCAACAAGUAUAGUUGAUGUUUUGAAUUAUAAAUAAAAGUUAAAAAUAUUAUUUUGAAUUUGUAAACUGAAGUUUCCUAAAAAAUAAUCACUAUCCAUCUUUAUUAUUUUAUUCCUUUGAUAAAUGUUCUGAUGUACGUUUGGCAAGUGUACCAAUGGUAAUUGUAGUAACAAAAUAUCGUCCUCUGGGAUUGAAUGAGUUGAGUACCAGUUUACUAAUUUACUUAAUUUUGAGCAACAAAGAUUGUCAAGUAGAAUAAUGAACAUAAACAAGUGAUGGAAAUUCAAAUAGUAUAAACAAUGUUAGAGAAUUGAUUUCAUACCUUUUCAUAUAAUUUCCUCCCCUUUUCAAUCGAUGUGUAAAUUAUAAUUAUCCACUUGAGUUUAUUUAGAGCUUGUUUACCCCUAAUCCCUUAGUAGGCAAACGUAUCCCUUGAAUUUGAAUCCCCAAUCCCUUAGGCCAAUUACAAAUUCAACAGAUCAUGAAGAAUAAUCAUAUCUCAAUUCAAACUAACUAGUCCUGCCCAAUUUCCCAAUUGUGACAACAUCUAAUCUGUUCUAUUUAUAAACGCAAACAAUUCCCAAUCUCCCAACUGUGAAACUGCUCAUAGAAUAGACAUUAAAACAUAAAUAGAACACUGGGAUAAUUAACAUGAACUUAACAUCAAUUGAAAAGGUUCAGAAAAUAUAAUCCAAAGUACUACAUCAAUCCACUAACAAAAGGAAAUUUAGUUAUGCAUAAUGGAAAAGAAAAAUCAAAAAACAAAAGUUCAGCCAAAAAGUUCCCCAAGAAGAAGACGAAGAAGAAGACUGUUUUGUUGUGCGUGAAUACCCCUUUUGUCUCCCUCUUCCACGUGUUUUCAUUCCUCCCCCCAUCAUUUCCACUAAUUCCUCCUUUUUAGGAGAGUGGUUUUCCUUUUCCCUAACUUCCUCCAAUUUUCCUUUAAUUUAAUCUCUUUAAAUCAGUCAUAAAAGAGAUCAAUAACUGCUCAAUAACUGCUCCUGGAAACUUUCACAGCCCAUGGAAAAUUCCCCACUCUGCCUGUGUUCUUCUCUGUUCCACUUGCCAAAUCCUGACGUGAAUCCACAGGUUGUGGUAGAAACCACAACUCACUUGUGGAGCUCUCUGUUUUGUCACUGCAUUUUGAAGCAAACUCCAGCAAACUCCACAGGUUAUGGAAUUCUCCCCAGCUGCGUUGUUGAACUCUCUGGAUUCAUCUUUCUAUCUUGUCCAUCAAAUCUUCCAAAAAUGUGGUUUAGGCACUUAGAAUCACCAAUCUACAUCAAAAAACACAAAAUGCCAAUGUAUGAUCCGAAACAAAGAUAAUCCAUGACUAAAUCCUUCAAUGAAUGCAAUUAUGCAUGGAAAUGACCUAAACUAAGACAUGAAUGCAAUUACAUUUACUCACACAUCAUGUUCUAUUGAAGUUUAUCUUUAGCAGGUUUGACUAACAAUUUGUUUUUGAUGGAAUUCAAGAAAAACUAAUGAGAAAAUAUCAAGACAUAAUGGUUGUUUAUAGCUUUUGAUAUACGAGGAAAUAUGGGGAAUUAACCAAUUUCUGUAAAUUUUUUUCGAAAAAGAUAACAUAAUUAUAGUUAAUUUUACUUAAAUUUUAACUGAAUCUUUUUAUUUUCUUAAAAUUGAAAUUGAUCAUAUUGAAUAUAUAAAAAUGAACUAAAGUUAAAAUAACUUUUCUUAAAAGAAGCCACUUUCUCUAGACAUAUGUUAUAUAAAAUAGUAAUAAUAAGUUAAAAUUAAUUAGUUAUUAUAAUUUACAUUAAAUCUUAUUAUUUUUAUUUAUUAUUUGUCGUAUUCUUCAUUAGAUAGCUUAUUUGGAAUUUCUUAUACUUUUACUUAGAGAUACGAAUGAUUGAAUGUGUAAAAUCAUUAUCGGAUGCUUAAUACUUUAUAUUCUUAAAGUAAUGUGUAACUUCCAUUUUAAUAGUAUAAAACUAUUAAAAUAAAACUUUACAUAGUUGAUUUUACUUACCUAUAUAUGUUUUGGCUUCCUCCUUUUCUUCACGCUAGAACGAUAAUUGUGGGUUCUGCUUGCUGAACGUUCAUAGUGGUUAGACUCGUUCAACGAGACUCCAGAACUCUACAGCACCAAAACUACACAAUUUGCACCCUUAAUUUCCCAUGACAUAUUUUAAACAUAUUUACCAAAUUCUAACACUCCUAAAUUGAAUUCUAAACUACUAUGAACCUAAACAAAUGUGUAUAAUCCAACUUAAACUAGUUUUUAACUGUUUUAUAACAAGAUUUUAACUUAAAAACAACUAAAACCUCAAUUUAGAUACCAAAAUUAAAUUCUAUAAGUUCUAGCUUAUUUUUUUAUCAACUUAAGGACUCUAACAAAUAAAAAAUGAUUUACAAACACCUUCCAAAAUGACCAUUUUAACACAUUACCUAAAAUUCAAAAUAUCACUAGUCCAAACCCCCAAAAUUAACUUAAAAACUAACCAAAACACUACCAACUUACUAUUACCACCUUCUAGAUCAGAUUUCAACACAUUCACAACUCUAACAAGUUUUAAAUCACCUCUAAAAAAACUUUAAAACUGAGCUUCAUCCUUUUAACCUUUAAUUCAAAACUCACAUACCCAAAACCUCCUUUUGUUUUUUUUUUUUUUUUUUUUUUUUUUUUUUUUUUUUACGAAAAACAUUUACUACAUCAUCCUAGUUCAAUUCUCCUCCACCUUUAAUCCAUUUCAACACAACAGCACAAAACAUUAUAAAUGAGAGCUUAACACAAAAUCAUACAAAGUACACAAACAUCUCAUCAAGCACAAUUUCACAACAACAAUUUACAUUAACUAACAUCUAUAUCAUAAACAUUCAACAUCUUGCAAUCUCACCCUAAUACUAUCAAUUCUUAAAUCAGCAUAAAACAAAAACUAGCUUCACUUACCUUACACCGAAGUUACUGAACUCUAAGAACACUGAAACCUUUUCUUCCAACUCAAGAAACUCUAAAAACGCCAAAAAAAACCAAAUCGUGAUUAGAGAGAGUACUUAGGAUCACAGAUUGACAAAGAAUCAAGAGUAUAGUUUAAAUGACACAUGCGAAGAGAUUUCUAAACAUGAUCAUAAAUAGAGAGCAAAAGAAACAAAAUGGUAGAAACUUACUUGCUCUAAACAAAGAACUAAUCAGAUAGAAAUGUAGAUUAUUCUGCUACAAUCUCAUAGAAAUUUCUUAAUCGUCAAACAAAUUAUCGAAGAAUUAUAUUUCUUAGAGAAAAAGAAGAGAGAACUUAAAGAAAAUGUUUUAGAGAAAUAGUUUGUAUUUUAAAUAAUAAGACGAGUUUAAAAAGUUUUAUUUAUAUUACUGAAUUAUAAAUUCUCAUGUAUAAAAAAAAAUAAUAAAAUUCAUUAUUACUUUUAAUGGCCUAAUUUCAAGUAACCAUUAUAUAUUAAAUAAUUUACCUUAGUACUAGCACUCACAGUCACUAAAAUAUACUUUGAUUAGAAUAUUUAUUAGUAAAUGAGAUAAUAGAUAAAGAUACAUUUUAUUUAUGAUUUUUUUAAAAAUGUAUAAUUUCUUUGAAAUUAUUAUAAAUGUACAAAAUCAUUUCAAAUCUUAUAAUUUCAUAUUUUAUAAAUUUUUUAAAUCAAAUUGACAAAAUCUAAAUCAUAAAAGUUAGAGAGUAUUGACGGAGUCAUCGUAACGAGGAAGAGAGAAUUGAUGGAUUCGUAAUAUUAGAUGAGGAAUAGAUAAGAUUAGUGAGCGGUUGUGGAUCAGAAACAUUAUAUCUUUUUAAGGUUCAUACGGUGAAAGAACCACAACAUCAACAUUUGGGAAAGAAAGAAGCCACCCAGAAGGAGAUGAACCCGAAUCCAUCACAGAAAAACUCAUCAUACUUCUCUACACCAGUAGAAUUACAUGGAAUUUAUUUUUAGAAUUAUAUAUUAAAUAAAGUUAAAUUGUGUUCAAAUUCGUCAUUAAUGUCUGCUUCAUAUACCAGCUGUUAGAGUCUAUUGACGGAGUCGCAAUAUUGAAUGAGGAUUAGAUAAGGUCACUGAGUGGUUGUGGAUCAGAACCAUUAUAUCUUUUCAGGUUCAUAUGGACAACCAACUACAACAUCAACAUCUCGAAUCGAAAAGAAAGAAGCCACUCAGAAGGAGAUGAACCCGAAUCCAUCACAGCAAAACUCAUCAUGCUUCUCUUCACAAGGAGAAUCACACAUGGUAUUUAUUUUUAGAAUUAUAUAUUAAAUAAAGUUAAAUUAUGUUCAAAUUCGCCAUUAAUGUCUGCUUCACAUACUGAUAAAGAAUAUUGACGAAGUCACAAUAUUAAAUGAGGAUUAGAUAAGGUUAGUGAGUGUUGUGGAUCAGAAACAUUAUAUCUUUUUCAGGUUCAUAUAUGGAGAAAGAACCACCACAUCAACAUCUCGAAUUGGAAAGAAAAAGAAGCCACCCAGAAGGAGCUCAACCCGAAUCCACCACACCAAAACUCAUCAUGCUUCUCUACCCAAGGAGAACCACACAUGGGUAACUUAAUUUUAUACCUUGGUUAACUUUGUUCACUUUUUAUUUUAUAAAAAAUAAUUAUAUUUCUUAGAAGUUUAAUCGUUCCCAGAUUCUGUUUGAGUUGAGAAUCUCAAACAGGUUUCUUAAUUUUGAAAAAUUACUCCAAUUAAACUUGCUGUUAAAUGAGGUCAAUAGUGUUAGACAGACAUUGAUAUGUUGAUAUUAUUGUUUUAAAUGAUGUGGCUUAUGUUAUUUAUUAUAGGUGAUUCUAACGUUUAUUUUCUAAAUUAAAGAAACUGAAAAAUUAAAAAAAAAAUUGGAAAAAGUUAGUUUAGGGUUCAUUCACAAAAAAUCAAUUGAGAAAUUAAGGUUCAUUCGAAUUUUGGAAAAUCAGGGUUUAUUUGAAGUUACUUCCAUAGAACUUGCCUAACCUUGUUGAGGUAUCGAAAGCACAACACACAUCUUCUGCAAGAGAGCCAGAUCAAAGACUUAAUCGCCAGGAGGUUUUUUGUGCGACUGGGAUUUCACUCAUAGAAGUGAAUCAAUUGACCAAAACAAGGGAUAUGGAUGUUCGUCUUUCACAUCUGGCCUUGAUUAGAGAAGUGGCCCAAUUAAAUAAUGCAUGAAUAUAUUUGGUACAAGAAGAUAUGGUAUUUGAUGGUCGAUCCUCCGAGGAGUCCUAUCAAAAAACUUAUUAAUUGUUUCACAAACUUACCAAAUCGUUCAAGUAAUAAAAUCAUGAUAAAAUCAUGUGUCGUUUUCCUAAGAGACUCGUGUAAUACUAAAUAAUCAUACAAUUAGUAAAUCAUCUAGACUAAAGAAUAGUUCAUGAAUUUACAACAAUAUACAAGUAAAUAAAGAUGUAUAAAAAGGGGUGGACUUUGGUAAUUGGAGACACUGAAAAGUGGAAAAAGGGUAGAAAUGAUAUGGAAUGGCAAUGUUAGGGGUAGAUUUAACCGGCUUCAUGCUUUUGCACAUGCGGAAUCAUCUCAACUCCAUCAAAUUCUAAUGUCAACCCUCUAAAACACUCAAACCUUAAUCCCUUAGGUGAGAGAGCCUAAGUUUUCUUACUAAGCGUCAAUCCCUUGAUCAUUCAACAAGCGGACCCACAUUACGACCUAAGAUUUUAGACAACUAAUGGGUCAUGUUCCAUCCAUAGACACAAAUCCCUUCUAGAUCUCUUAUUUCAAGCCUAGGAUUCAUUAGAUUUUUCCUAACACCUAAGGAAACUGUAAAUCAAGCUAAGAACGUCCCUAUUCCCGCAAGCAUUAAGAGUAAAAACAAGAAAAUAACAUUUAAAUGAAGAUGCAUAUAUAUAAUCAAAGCAUUUAUAAGGUACAAGAUGUUGACAACACAAUAUCUAUAUCACUCUUUUUUUUAUGAUGACAACACAUUUUUAAUAGCACACAUAUGUUGUUGUUGUGUUACAUGUUCUUAUGCUGAUUGAUUGAUAUAUUGUUGAACAUGUUUUUCUGUUUUACUACUAUGUGAAUGCAUUCUUAUUGAACUUGUGCAUGUUACAUCAUAUCUGAUUGCAUUACACAUGUUUGAAAGGAUGAAAACCACAUGCACUUUUGUGAACUUAUAACUGUGUGACAAAGCUGCAGUAAAGUCGACUCCAUUACUAAUUGAAUUGACUAUGCUAAAGUCUUUGUACAGAUUUUGAGAAAUAGUGCUAUGUGAGAUUUUGUGAAGGAAAGAAUUUCAAAAUGCUUUGACAUGUCGAAGUCAACUGUGUGCACCACACAUUUGACUAUAUUAGUUGUUUGCUUUGAAAUUUUGUUAUGCUCAUGAACAGUAACGACUGUAUUUUCAAAAGUUAGUUGAGCAUUGAUUGAGAGUCAACUAUAUUGAAUGAGAAUUUAUUUGGUUUGACUGAAUGCUACCGGUCUGACUUAUCUGUUAUAACUGUUUUAACAUAGUCGAUUGGAUUAGUAGCAUAUUCGACUAAGGGAGCCUCUGAUUAACAAAAUUCUAUAAAUAGACAGAACAAUUGUUCUGAGACUUUUGGACAUAUUUUGAUCUAACACUUUCAUAUUCUGUUUCAGAUUGUUCCUUUGGAUUUAUAGAGCUCCAAGAACUCUUCAAGAAGACGGUGGUGAUCUUUCUUGAAGGAGAUUCAAAGGGAGACUGACUGCGUGCUCAUUGCUUGAUCACAUAUCUGCACAUUGAGGUGUCUUUAGGUUUAUCAAGAUUCAUAUUGGCAUCCGUGGUGAUUGCUGUUGGUACCUGUUGUGAUUAUAGGGGAUAGACUCGUGGAGUCUUGUUUACUUUGAGGACUGUUCAAAAUGGUUUUGCAGAUUGCAGGAGAGGGAACAUCUUGCUGCAAGUUUUGCUAGGUUGUUUUGGCUAUAUUUUGGUUAGAGGGUUAGAGAGGAGAUUUAUAUUUUUGACGUGGAGGUCUUCUAUAAAUUCUUUGUUGUAAAAACAUUGAUCAUUAUAGUGCAAUUGCUUCCUGGUAUUAGAAGGACACUGGAUGUAGGCAUUGAGGCCGAACCAGUAUAAAAACCAGUGUUUGAAUUUCUCUAUUUCUGAACUUUUACUUAUAAUCAACUUUACUUUCUGCGCAGUCAUCUACAUUUUUCUGUUGCAUACGAAUUUUCAUUACUUGCAAUUCAAGAAAGUUUGUAAAGUUUUUUACUUUGAUUUAAAGAUUGCAAAAAGAUUAUGAUUUUGAAAACUCACCAAUUCACCCCCUUUUGGUGUAAAAAUAAGCCUACCUGUUUUCUAACACAAGAGAGUUCAAUAGCUACAUAUACCCCAAACAAGAUAGGUUUAACUUUCUAUUUCCAUGGAGAGUUUUAAAGCUUACAAAAAUGGAUGAUAGACGAAGAUGGAGACCCAAAGAAAGAGAAGAGGAUGUUCCCACAUGCCCCAUGCGGAGUUGUGCAUUUGGUCAGAGCGACGUGAUGUUGUACAGAGAUGGGGUGGAAGGAGAUGCCAUCACAAAAUGAAAGAAGAAGAUGGAAGGGCGAACCAAAUCCCUAAUUCAAACAUCUUUUGGUUAAUUAAUUUUUCCCAAUUUCUUUAAUUUCAAAAAAACAAAAAUCCCUUAUACAUGUUUAACAACUUGCCAUGUCAAUUAAAACAACCAGCAUGCUAAGUCAGCCUCUUUCUAUUGUGUUGAUCCCAUUUAACGUAAAAAUCUAAUUGGAACAAUUUUUACAAAAAUAAAAAUUUAAUUAAAACGAAAAAAAUUAAGAGACCUACUUUAAAUUUUCAGUUCAAAUAGAAACCAGAUUAAACUUUUCGUAAAUUAUCUUUAAUAGUAUACUGCUGAUGAUGAUAAGAUUUUAACUAAUAUUUUUAGAAUUAUAUAUUCAAUGAAGUUGAAUUAUUUCCGUUCAUUAAAGAUAAACAAUUUUCCUAAUUUAUGUUCAAAUUUGCCUUGUGAAAAAUUUGACGUAUUUAUUUAUUUAUUCCGUAACUUAAUUUUCUGUUUAUUUAUAUUUUUGUUUUAAUUUUUUCUUAUAUAUUUUUACAAGAAAAUAUAUAUUUAAUAUUUACUUAAAGUUGACAUUAACUAAAUAAAACACACAUGUAUUAUUCUCUGAAAAAACUGUAGAUUCGGCGACAGAAUUAGGGAGAGCACCCAUCCCAUUUGAAAUCUACAUUUGAAUGCCUGGUCCCAUUAAUUAAUGUAGUGGCGGAACCGAAGCUACCGCAACCACGGAGUCAACAGUCACUGUCAUUUUUAUUUUUGUUUUAUUCUUCUGACCUAGUCAUCCCAUAAUACUCAACCUCUGCUUCUUUGUAUAAGGGACUGACUGGUACAGUAUAUUAUUAUGCUAAAUAUAUAGGUUUGAUGGAUAGUAGCCUUGGAACACCACAAUUCAGAUCAUCACACUGCACAGCAUAGGUACCAUAUUUCCUCUUUCUCUCUUCCUUCUUCUUCUUCAUUGUUGGCCAAAUCUUCAUCUCUACAUUAUGCCCUAGUCAUAAUCCCUCACUCUUUAACUGUAAGAUUAAAACAUAUAUAAAGCUUUAAUUAUACUUUUGUGCUAAUAUUCAGCCUUUUUAUGCUGUUUUCUUUAAAUAAAUUACACUUUUGUCACAAAAAUAUAUUUAAUCUGUUUUCUUUCAAUUUACCUUUGAUUGAUAGGAGAAUUCAGCAGUACUAUUAUUUUAUGACGCAGAUUGCAGAUUUAAACACGGAAGGAGAAAUUAAAGCUAAAAAGCUUUUGCAAUGACCUUUGAGUCGUUGACUACGUGAUCUAAGUCAAGAUAUACAAUGUGGAUGAGUUUCUACUUUGCUGUUUUAGCUGUUCUACUUAUCCAAGCUCGUGCUUAACCAGGUUCGUUCAAGCAUUUCUUUUGUCAAACAAUGUCAUUGUAUCUUUAUUUAUUUAUGCUUUGCUAAAAUAAUAGAAAAUAAAGAUAUAAAAGAGAAAAAAGAAUUGAUACAUCAUAAUCAUAUUGGAAGUCAUGUUUUCUUUUCUCUUUUCUAUCAAUUCAAUCAACCAAAUUUAAUUUAGUUUUCAUCUGUUUUUUUUUUUCUUUCAUCUCGUGCUUUCUUUAUGUUGAAACUAACGUCUAAAAACUUAUUAAAUGGAACAGCUAGAUUUUUGAAAGAUAAAUGGGUGAUUCAUGUGAAUAAAUUAACUUAAGAAUAAAACAAAAAAUCAAUUAAUUGGUCUUUUAGUUGGUGAGAGGUUUCUAGUUUAAUUCUUAAAAAGCUGAUUUAGUUUAUAAAUAUAUAAAAAGACUCCUAUACAAAGCUAUUUUAUCAUUAAAAUAUUAUUUUAAAGACUAAUUUGGUACUGAUUCACUAUUUUGUAUUUUGUUUUUGUCAUAAGUUGUUUAAAGACUAAAUUUUUAAUAUCUCACACAUUCUUCAACCAAAACUUCUCCUCAUAGAUAAGUAGGAUAUAGUGUAUUUAUAGACAUCAUCCAUUAUUAUUAUUAUAUGAGAUUGCUUUUAUUACAAAAAUAUACAAUUUUAGGAAAAUCCCUGUAAGCUAUAGAAAAUCACGGGGGUUUUGACUACCAACUCCAACUCGAACUCGGCGCUUCCACCAUGGAUCUUGAGUAUUUGACUCUUUCACCACAAGUAUCAAGAUCCAACUGUUAGAAGUGGAUUUUUAGGCCUAACUCAACUCCACAAAACAACUUCCAACACACUCCCCUCACUAAUAUAUACCGCAAUUUUUUUUAAUUUUAUCUAUUAUAAAAAAAUCAAAAGUAAUUUUAAAUAAUACAAUAUCAUAUUAUUUAUGAUAAAAUUUAUUUUCUAGUAUAAAAAAUUGAACUUGCGAGAACACUUAUAUGGAACAUUAUACAUGUUCCUCGAAGUGUUUCAGAACUUGAUUCUGUUGGUGCUGCAAUUCUUGGUCUGCAAUAUAUUAUAAUAUCUAUGUUUAAUAAUUGAAGUUUUUGUGCUAAUAGAUGAUAAAAAUAUCUCCACAUGAGUAUUCAAAGAUAAAAUUUAUGAUAGCAUAUGUAUUCAUAAUAUGCAAAUAAUAAACAACGAUUAUUUUAAUAUUUAUUUAUAAACCAUAGGUAACAGAUAUAAAUAUUAUAUUAUUCUUACUAGUAGAUGUUUAUUAUUUAAAAAAAUUAAUUUAUAUUUUAUUGGGUUAAAUUUAAUUAAAAUUUGAUUUGUAUUAUAUUUUAUAUUUUUUAAUUCUUAUUUAAAUUUUAUUUUAAAAAUUUAUAAAAUACUUUUUCUUUUCAAAAUAUCAACAGAUAUUCACAUCUAUAUAUUUUAAAAUAUUCGUAAAUAUUUUUAAAUUGAUGUCUAACCGUGAUUGAUUAGUAAUUUUUUUUUUGUUAUAAAUCGAGUAAUAAAUAAAUACAAUCCGAUAUACUCUCAUUUAAUUCAGUGUUUUUAUGUUGUUUUCUUUAAAUGGAAUACACUUUGGUCACACAAAUAUAUUUAAUCUGUUUUAUUUCAAUUUAUCUUUGAUUGAUAGAUCGAGAACUCAGCGGUAUUAUUAUUUUAUGAUACAUAUUACAGAUUUAAAUACGGAAAGAGGAAUUUAGGCUUGCAAUUAUCUUUUAGUCGUUGACCACGUGAUCUAAGUCAACAUAAACAAUGCGGAUGAGUUUCUACGUUGCUGUUUUAGCUGUUCUACUUAUGCAAGCUCAUGCUGAUCAACAAGGUUCGAUGAAGCAUUUCUUUUGUCAAAUAAUUUCAUUAAUAUCUUUAUUUAUUUCAAAGUCUUAUGCUGUGCUAAAAUAAUAGAAAAUAGGAGAUAUAAAAGAGAAAAAAAAAAUUUAUACAUCAUAACCAUAUGGGAAGUCAUGUUUUUUUUGUCUUUCUUUUUAUCAAUUCAAUCAACCAAAUAUUGUUUAGUUUUCAUUUUUUUCUUUCAUCUCAUGCUUUCUUUAUGUUGAAACUAAAGUCUAAAAAAAUAUUAAAUGAGUGAUUGAUGUGAAUAAAUUAACUUAAGAAUAAAAAAAAAUCAAUUAAUUAAUUAAUCUUUUAAUUGGUGAGAGGUUUCUAGUUUAAUUCUUAAAAAACUGAUUUAGUUUCUAAAUAUAUAAAAAGACUCCUAUACAAAACUGUUUUAUCAUUAAAAUAUUAUUUUAAAGACUAAUUGAAAAACUAUUUUACCAACAAACUAGGAUAUUUAAAAACUAAUUUGUUUUUUUGUCAUAAGUUGUUUUAUAGACUAAAUUUUUAACAUCCCACACAUCCUUGAACCAAAACUUCUCAUUUAGCAAAAGAUUAUAGAUAAAUAAGGUUAGGCAGGCAGCAAUAUGAAAAAGAAACAGGAGACAAUUACAUGGAACUCUUAAACAAAUGCAAUGGUAUUAAUUUGUAUGAAUAUUCGUCUAAAAAUUUGUAACAACUUUAACAGUAAUAAAUGCAAUUUUUGUUGGUGUAGAAAAUUCUCUUUUAUUGAAAGUAACACUUGGAUAGAAACACCGAGGUCAAACACAACACUGAGAAACUCUCUGACACUAAAAAACUCACUCUUAGAACACAAAGACAGCCAUUCUCUCCUUACUCUCUUUCUCUCGGUGCACACACUCUUCUUUGUUUUCCUUACACACAAUCAUGACCAUUUGCUCUCUAUUUUCUCCUUCACGGUGUUGUUCACUCCACUUUCACCUUCGUGGCUUUAUAAGAAAACAACCAGCCAUCACAAUCACACCAUCCGGACCACCACAUCACUGCCAAUUGAAGUUUUGGGGAGAAGAAAAAGCCUGAGGGGGAAAACCUUGCACUUACAAACAAGGACUUUUUUCUUCUUUUGCAAUUAUUGAACUGUGUGGCAUUUAAUGUUUAUUCCACCAUUUCAUGUUCUAGGAUUCAUCAGCAUAGAUUGUGGAGCUGAAGAAGGUGUGAACUAUAAGGAUUCAACAUAUGGCAUAAAUUACGUUUCGGAUGCAGAGUUCAUAAAUACAGGUGUUAGUGAGACAAUAGCAUCUGAAGUGAAGAGCAAAGAAAAUCAACAACAACUGUGGACGCUGAGAAGCUUCCCGGAAGGAAAAAGAAACUGCUACAAAAUAAGCGUCACAAGAGCCUCUAAAUAUUUCGUCCGCACUAGUUUUCUGUACGGCAAUUAUGAUGGCCGAGAUAUGUUACCACAGUUUGAUCUUCUUCUGGGACCUAACCGCUGGGAUACAGUCACUAUACUCAAUGCAGCCACGGUCCAACACAAGGAGAUCAUACAUGUAACUUCAAUGGAUUAUGUGCAAAUCUGUCUGGUUCACACAGGCAAUGGCACACCAUUUAUAACAGUCAUAGAAUUCAGGAUUUUGAAAAAUGAUACAUACGUCACUCAAUUCGGAACAAUGGAACUUUACAAUUACCUGCGCUGCGAUUUGGGUUCAGACACAACCUACAGGUGAAAUCAUACUUAUAGAUUAAAUGUAUUGCCUUAUAAGAAUGAUUAUUGGAUUUAUUCUGAUUUUCUCACAGGUACCCGGCUGAUGUUUAUGAUCGUUACUGGUAUGGUCGUUCUUCCUGGGACGCCUGUAACUUCGACGAAAAUUGGAAACCACUAAGUGCCUCCAUUCCCGAUUAUUUUUUAAAUGAGACUGAUUACAUGCCGGGAGCAACUAUCAUGAGAACCGCAGUUGAACCACAAAAUGAUAGUGCUCCGUUGGUAAUAAGGUUGGAGCCACAACAUGAAACUGACCUAUUCUAUGUGUACAUGCACGUCACGGAAAUUCAAGUGUUAACCACGAAUCAGACAAGACAAUUCAACAUCAUGAUGAACGCUGAUUCAUGGUAUCUAAAUUGUUCUCCAGUGUAUCAUGGAAUGAUUACUAUAUAUUCGAAGUUAGCCAUCAGUGGGAAAGAAAUUAAAUUUUCCCUCGAGAGGACUGAAAAUUCAACCCUCCCUCCCAUCAUCAGUGCCAUUGAAAUUUACAGAGUAAUAGACUCACAGAACCCAGAAACAUUCCAAGGAGAUGGUAUUUUUCAUUUUUUAAAUCCAUUUAUUUUGUUUACACUUUCAUACAUGAACUUAACUACCUUCUAUUCUAUCCCUCUUUUUUGCACUGAAAAAAAGUUGAUGCGCUUACAAGCAUCAAGUCAGUUUAUGGAGUGAAAAGGGAUUGGGAAGGUGAUCCAUGCACCCCUGCAGCCUACUUGUGGGAUGGUCUCAACUGUACUUAUCUCGGCAAUGAGUUCCCAAGAAUCACAGCUUUGUAAGUCAUGUUUGCCAAAUUAUUAUUAUACCUUCAUAAAACUAAUUAAGAUCACAUCGUAUAUAACUAUUCAUUGAGCAAAACAGGAAUUUAUCGUCAAGUGGAUCAUCAGGAAAGAUUGACCCUUCAAUCUCAAACCUUACCAUGUUGGAGAAGCUGUGAGUUUUCUUUUUCUCUUGUUUCUUUUAUUUCACCCGACAGAAAAAUCUCGUUAUAAAUCUUUUUACUGUUUUCGUUAUGUACUUAUUAUUUGUGAAGAAUGGACAUAUCUUUUCCUACUUGAGUCGAGAUUUAAACAUAGUUAAAAAGGCUAAAUUAUUUGUUUUCCAGGGAUUUAUCUAACAAUAGUUUAAAUGGUGAAGUUCCUGAUUUUCUGUCUCAAUUACAACACUUGAAGAUCUUGUAAGUUACUUCAUUUACUCAAACACUAUAUACGUGAUGGGAUCCUCUAUCUGAUACUAGAAAACCAUAUUUUUUUAGAAACUUAGAGAAGAAUAACCUCUCCGGUUCAAUUCCCUCUGCACUUGUUGAAAAAUCACGCCAAGGUUCUCUCUCACUAAGGUGUGAAUCUGACUAAAAACUCUCAAAUUCAUAAUAUGAUUAUUUAUGCUGAGGAUUAUUAAUUACUUAUGUUCAAGGCAGUGUUUGAGAUUUAUAUAUACAUGACCCACUCAAUUUCUAAGCACAACCAAAAUAAGUUGAAGAAUGUAUUUAAAUUAUGAAUUAAUUAUUUGUAAGGUUUACUUAGACUUGAAACAUAAUUUUUCUGUGAUUUCCAUGCUAGUGUGGGUCAAAAUCCAUAUCUAUGUGAAUCUGGGCAAUGCAACGAGAAGGAAAAGAAAAACAUUGUCACACCCAUAGUAGCAUCAAUAUGUGGGGUUCUAAUUCUUGUAAUAGCCGUUGCUAUAUUGUGGAUCCUUAAAAGGAAAAAAUCAAAAGGUAAUGCUGAAGUAACUACGAAAAGUUUGUAUUUUCUAUUAACAAUUUACCAAAAGAUUACCUUGUUAACCUAUUAUCUUUCAAAAUGAAGCUGAAAAAUUUACAGAUUCGGUGGCAGUAAAUCAUCAGAGUGAGAUUUCACAGCAAUCCACAGAAAAGGAUAAUUCGUUCCAGCAACGCAAAAGUCAAAUGUAUUCAUACUAUGAUGUCCUUCAAAUCACUAACAAUUUCAAUAGAAUUAUUGGUAAAGGAGGAUCUGGAACAGUUUACCUGGGCUUUAUCGAUGAGACUCCAGUUGCAGUGAAAAUGCUUUCCCCAUUAGCAGUUCAUGGUUAUCAACAAUUUCAAGCAGAGGUAUAAGUUAUUAAUCAAUUUAUUUUAGGUUUCUGACUUUGUUACCGAACCUAUACGGUUUAACGUAGUUGUGACUUUUAUUUCAAGGUUAAACUUCUACUCAGAGUUCAUCACAAAAAUUUGACAUCCCUUAUUGGUUACUGUAACGAAGGAACCAAUAAGGGNCUCAUAUAUGAGUACAUGGCUAAAGGGAACUUACGAGAACAUCUCUCAGGUUGGUUACGAAUAAAAUUAUUUUGUUCUUAAAAGUUUGUGUAAUCAAUUUCCAAGUUAGAUUUGAUUUCUGAAACUCUUGAGAUGGAAUUUUUAAUAUUGGAGAACUGUAUGAGUCGUAUGAAUAAGUUCUACCGAACACAAACAAACAUGCAUAGAAUAGAAAGUUAUAGUAGUUGUUCUUGUAGGUAAACACAGCGAAUCACCAUUCUUGAGCUGGAAGGACAGACUUCGUGUUGCACUGGAUGCAGCCUUAGGUUAGAAAGUAAACUUGAAUUUUUGAAUUUAUGUCAACUCCCUUUACCCUUUUAAGACGUUUUCCGUAAUUAUAAAUCUAAUAUCAGGAUUGGAAUAUCUGCAAAAUGGUUGCAAGCCUCCUAUAAUCCACAGAGAUGUGAAAUCUACAAACAUCUUGUUGGACGAACACUUCCAAGCAAAGUUAUCUGAUUUCGGUCUAUCCAAAGUCUUCCCAGAUGAUGGGGGAUCUUAUGUGUCAACUGUUGUUGCUGGCACUUUCGGUUACCUGGACCCUCA